rnacentral:pre_miRNA from 1 species
UUGUAGAGGAGUCUGUCUUUAAGUAGGCAUAAAUUACUCUAAGGGAAAUGAAUCCCCAAGAGUUUUUCUUUCAAGUCAUGUGUCUUGU